rnacentral:rRNA from 1 species
UUCCGGUUGAUCCUGCCGGACCCGACUGCUAUCAGAGUGGGACUAAGCCAUGCGAGUCAACGUAGAAAUACGUGGCAUACGGCUCAGUAACACGUAGUCAACAAGCCCAGGGGACGUGGAUAACCUCGGGGAACUGAGGAUAAACCGCGAUAGGCCAUGAUUUCUGGAAUGGUUCAUGGCCGAAAUCUAUAUGGCCCCUGGAUUGGACUGCGGCCGAUCAGGCUGUUGGUGAGGUAAUGGCCCACCAAACCUGUAACCGGUACGGGCUCUGAGAGGAGGAGCCCGGAGAUGGGCACUGAGACAAGGGCCCAGGCCCUAUGGGGCGCAGCAGGCGCGAAAUCUCUGCAAUAGGCGAAAGCUUGACAGGGUUACUCUGAGUGGUUCCCGUUAAGGGGAUCUUUUGGCACCUUUAAAAAUGGUGCAGAAUAAGGGGUGGGCAAGUCUGGUGUCAGCCGCCGCGGUAAUACCAGCACCCCGAGUGGUCGGGACGAUUAUUGGGCCUAAAGCAUCCGUAGCCGGUACUGCAAGUCUUCCGUUAAAUCCACCUGCUUAACAGUUGGGCUGCGGGGGGAUACUACAGCGCUAGGAGGCGGGAGAGGCAAGCGGUACUCAAUGGGUAGGGGUAAAAUCCGCUGAUCCAUUGAAGACCACCAGUGGCGAAGGCGGCUUUGCCAGAACGCGCUCGACGGUGAGGGAUGAAAGCUGGGGGAGCAAACCGGAUUAGAUACCCGGUAGUCCCAGCUGUAAACGAUGCAGACUUCGGUGAUGGGCUUGCCUUGUGCCAGCCCAGUGCCCCAGGGAAGCCGUUAAGUCUUCCCCUCGGGGAGUACGGUCG